rfam:Oryza rufipogon genomic scaffold, chr01
AAAAAGACAAACUCUGGUUUCCGUGCCCAACGUUUGACCGUCCGUCUUAUUUGAAAAAAAUAUGAAAAAAUUAAAAAGACAAGUCACGCAUAAAAUAUUAAUCAUGUUUUAUCAUAUAACAACAAUGAAAAUACGAAUUAUAAAAAAAAAUCAUAUAAGACGUACAGUCAAAAUUGAACACGGAAUUAUA